rnacentral:rRNA from 1 species
GUGCCAGCCGCCGCGGUAAUACGGAGGGUGCAAGCGUUGUUCGGAAUUAUUGGGCGUAAAGAGCGUGUAGGCGGCCUUGUAAGUCAGAUGUGAAAUCCCUUGGCUUAACCAAGGAAGGGCAUUUGAAACUGCUUGGCUUGAGUACGGGAGGGGGAAGUGGAAUUCCCGGUGUAGAGGUGAAAUUCGUAGAUAUCGGGAGGAACACCAGUGGCGAAGGCGGCUUCCUGGACCGAUACUGACGCUGAGACGCGAAAGCGUGGGGAGCAAACAGGAUUAGAUACCCUGGUAGUCCACGCCGUAAACGUUGGGCACUAGGUGUUGUGGGUAUUGACCCCCGCAGUGCCGAAGCUAACGCAUUAAGUGCCCCGCCUGGGGAGUACGGUCGCAAGGCUAAAACUCAAAUGAAUUGACGGGG